AAGUCGUAACAAGGUUUCCGUAGGUGAACCUGCGGAAGGAUCAUUACAGAGUUCCUGCCCUCACGGGUAGAAACCCCACCCUUGUGUAUACUAUAUUGUUGCUUUAGCAGGCCGCCUUCGGGCGUCGGCUCACGCUGACCGUGCCUGCUAGAGGACCCUAAACUCUGAAAUACAGUGUCGUCUGAGUACUAUUUAAUAGUUAAAA
rnacentral:misc_RNA from 1 species